CAUUAAUCGAAAAUGACAAUCAGCUGUAAUUUAGUGCAUUAUUAGAUUAAUCAAGAAUCAACUAUAAGGACAUAUAAAAAAAUUGAAAAUGAAAAUCGGGGAAAAUUGAAAAUUGAAAAUCGAAAUCAAAGAGUCAUCAACCUGACAAAAUAGUUUAUAACAGCCAAAGGUCGCCAAUUUGUCUUCAACGCAGUGCGAAAAU
rnacentral:lncRNA from 1 species